rnacentral:lncRNA from 13 species
AUGGGUCCCAUGGAAGACAUCUUCUCUGAAGACCUGCAGGAGUGACCAUGGUUGAAGCAGCAAAGAGUUUCUUCAGCCCCAUGCAGAGCAGCUCCCAUGAGACUGUGCGUGGUGAGCUCUUCAGCUCAGAAGGGCCCCUCGGCCUUGACCCACAUAGAUGUUGAGCCUGGAGGAAGACUUAUGUGAGGCCCAGUGAAGCCAGGCCGGUGUGUGUCAGCCAGGUGCUCAGCCCAUGGUGCGCUGAUGUUCGGGCCCUUCCUGGCACCCUGGUCUCCGGCACUGAGCUGUGUGAGCUCCUUCACCCACCUGAGCCACCUGGCAUUGACCAUAAUAGAUGGUGAUCCCGGAGGAAAACUUGGGUUGGGUCUGCUGUCUCUGGGCCAACGUCAGUCACACAGGUGCCUGGCCCACAGUGUGCUGAAGCUCGGGCCCUUCCCGGAGCGCUUGGCUCCUGCACUGAGCUGUGGUGAGCCCAUCUGUGUCCUGCUGGAUGCAUGCGUAGGGAGGGGGGGUGCCCUGCAUUGGGUCGAUGAUGAGAACCUUAUAUUGUUCUGAAGAGAGGUGAUGACUUAAAAAUCAUGCUCAAUAGGAUUACGCUGAGGCCCAGCCUAAGGGAGGAUUGUGGAAGAGGUUGCU